rnacentral:rRNA from 1 species
GAUGAACGCUGGCGGCGUGCCUAAUACAUGCAAGUCGAGCGGAAGGACGCGAAUCUUGCGGCUCUCAUGUUAGCGGCGGACGGGUGUAAAACGCGUGGAUACCCUCCCUAUAAGACUGGGAUAAUUUCGGAACACCGGAUCUAAUACCGGAUAAUCUUCUGAAGCGCAUGGUUCAAAGGUGAGAGACGGUCUUGCUGUCAGGUCUAGAUGCAUCCGGGCUGCAUUAGCUAGUUGGUGAGGUAAAGGCCUACGAAGGCAACGAGGCCUAGGCGACCGAAGAGGGGGAUCGGCCACAUGGGAACGGGGACACGGACAAGAGGCCUACGGGAGGCACCAGUAGGGAAUCGUCGGCAGUGGGCGAAAGCCUUACGGAGCAACGCCGAGUGAGUUAUGAAGGUCUUCGGAGCGUAAAACCCUGUUAUGAGGUAAGAACAGAUGUGGAAGGAACCGUGGACAGCGUGACGGUACUGAAUCAGAAAGCAACGGCUAACUACGUG